rnacentral:sRNA from 1 species
GCUCCAGAUGAGGUGAUGGCAACGGCCAACUUCGGCAAGAUCCAGAUCGGGAUUUACGUGGAGAUCAAGCGCAGCGAUGGCCGAAUACAUCAAGCAAUGGUAACAUCUUUAAAUGAAGAUAAUGAAAGUGUAACUGUUGAAUGGAUAGAAAAUGGAGAUACAAAAGGCAAAGAGAUUGACCUGGAGAGCAUCUUUUCACUUAACCCUGACCUUGUUCCUGAUGAAGAAAUUGAACCCAGUCCAGAAACACCUCCACCUCCAGCAUCCUCAGCCAAAGUAAACAAAAUUGUAAAGAAUCGACGGACUGUAGCUUCUAUUAAGAAUGACCCUCCUCCAAGAGAUAAUAGAGUGGUUGGUUCAGCACGUGCACGGCCCAGUCAGUUUCCUGAACAGUCUUCCUCUGCACAACAGAAUGGUAGUGUUUCAGAUAUAUCUCCAGUUCAAGCUGCAAAAAAGGAAUUUGGACCCCCUUGUAUGUAAAUUAUGUAUCAAGGAUUUAGUCAUUUUAGGCAUACAUGCAUUCUCUCUUGGUCAUCCUUUUAAGUCCUCAAAGAGUAAACACUCUAAAUACAAGCUUGAUUGCAGAUUUCAUUUUACCACUGUGGAAAAUUUAACUUCUUUUUAGUAGUCUGUUAAUUGGGUUUUUUAAAGUAUAUUUUGGAGCAAAAAUUUUUUUGUGAAAUUAUAGCAAUGUUUCAGUUUGAGUUUAAAAUUCUGGGCAGAUGAUAAUUUGUCAGAUGUUACAGAAGAAUGUGUUGUGCUCCUUGAUUCUUUGAAUUAAAA